rnacentral:lncRNA from 1 species
ACUCAUUUCAGUCUGUAUGCGAGAUAUCCAGAACAUCUUAUAGAUUACAGAUCAUGAGCACUAUAAUCAUGGGCAUGCACAUAAUGUAAUGUCCUAAUAGGACAAGUUACAGGACGGGGAAGCACUCCUUGGCGGGCAUUUAUGUUUGAGCAAUCAUAGAAAAACAGUAGUGUUUGUAUAGGAACACCAACUGGAAUGGAUGGAUCACCCACUGAUGAACACCGAGGGAACAUUAAAGUUCAGCCUACAGUUUCUAGGGGAAAUGUACUGUCCAUACUACCAGAUCAAGUCAAAAGAGAAAUUCCUCAUAUUUUGCAGAGUCGGCGUUAACUCCAGAGCCCCUAAGGUGGUACGAAGAAUUAUCAUGUAAAAGUGUUUGUACUUAGCAACGUACUCCCUCUGUAAAGAAAUAUAAGACAUUGAGCAUAUACCUUGAGCUGUCUAAUCAAACUCCUUCAAACACGCAACCUUAGGAUGAGCUCUGUUGAAAUGCUCUGUUCACAGGACAGUUGUUAUGCGUGUAUAGGAUGAG